GAUGAAGAACGUAGCGAAAUGCGAUAAGUAAUGCGAAUUGCAGAAUCCGUGAGUCAUCGAAUCUUUGAACGCACAUUGCGCCCCUUGGUAUUCCGAGGGGCAUGCCUGUUCGAGCGUCAUUAUAACCCCUCAAGCUCAGCUUGGUGUUGGGGCCUGCUGCACUGGCAGCCCUUAAAAUCAGUGGCGGCGCCAUCUGGCUCUAAGCGUAGUAAUUCUUCUCGCUAUGGAGUCCUGGGGGAUGCUUGCCAUCAACCCCCAAUUUUUCUAUGGUUGACCUCGGAUCAGGUAGGGAUACCCGCUGAACUUAAGCAUAUCAAUAAGCGGAGGA
rnacentral:misc_RNA from 1 species